rnacentral:rRNA from 1 species
AUUGAACGCUGGCGGCAUGCUUUACACAUGCAAGUCGGACGGCAGCACAGAGAAGCUUGCUUCUUGGGUGGCGAGUGGCGCACGGGUGAGUAAUAUAUCGGAACGUACCGAGUAAUGGGGGAUAACUAAUCGAAAGAUUAGCUAAUACCGCAUAUUCUCUGAGGAGGAAAGCAGGGGACCUUCGGGCCUUGCGUUAUUCGGGCGGCCGAUAUCUGAUUAGCUAGUUGGUGGGGUAAAGGCCUACCAAGGCGACGAUCAGUAGCGGGUCUGAGAGGAUGAUCCGCCACACUGGGACUGAGACACGGCCCAGACUCCUACGGGAGGCAGCAGUGGGGAAUUUUGGACAAUGGGCGCAAGCCUGAUCCAGCCAUGCCGCGUGUCUGAAGAAGGCCUUCGGGUUGUAAAGGACUUUUGUCAGGGAAGAAAAGGCUGUUGCUAAUACCGACAGCUGAUGACGGUACCUGAAGAAUAAGCACCGGCUAACUACGUG